GGAACCAGGGAGUGUAUGGGUCGUAAGAGGGGGAAAAAAAAAAAAAAACAACGGAGUGGUAAUCACUGAGGGGGGUGCCCAGCUUUGUUUAGGUGACCUUAUCAGCAGCAGGUAUGAGAGGCAAAAACCUGGCCUCUUUGACUGACACUGGUCAUUUCCAUCUCUCAGUGUUGUAAUGACAGAUGUGCCAGCCCUUGGCCAUUGGUUGUUGGGGCUCGCAUAGGAGAGGAGAUCUUUCACUGAGGUGUCAUGCCCCUGCCAAGUUGGAUUCCACCUCCUUGUUUCAGGGCACUCCUCUCUGCUGCAGCAGCUGGGUAUACCAGUUUCUCUUCUCACCUUGUCUGGCCCACCAGCCUCCUGCCCUGCGGCUCUUACUUCAACACCCAGACCUGGAUGAAUGCCUUUCUUUCAGCAAGAAAUUGUCCCACCUUGUUGAUUUGACGAAAACUUUAUGGGUCAAUCUCAGUCUUACAGUCCUGGAGGCCGGAAGCCCAAGACCAACAUGUCAUUAGGUUUCCGCGGAGGCCCCUUUCCUUGGCUUGGUGACAGUCAUCUUCGCUUUGCAUGGCCAUGUGGCCUUUCCUCUGUGCGUGGAUGUGUCCUUGUUCUCUUUUCAAACAGCACUUCACCUGGUCACAGUAACCUCCUUAAUGGCCGUAUCUCUAAAUGCAAUCACAAUAUAGUUUACUGGGAGUCAGUAUUUUUCUAUUUUUCAAGACAGGGUUUCUUGGUGUAUCCCUGACUGUCCUGGAACUCUCUCUGUAGCACAGGCUGGCCUCAAACACAGAGAUCCGCCUGCCUCUGCCUCUGCUUCCCAAGGAUUAAAGGUCUGUGUCGCCACUGCCCAGCUGGGAGUCAGCGUUUAAAUAUGAAUUUUAGAUGUGUAGAAUUCAGCCAGAGCCACCUCCCAUUUCUUUCUUGAAUUUAAUUCCUAGAGAACUGAGCUGUGGAAAGAUCUGAGAGCUGGCCUUGAGCACAAGAUGAAGC
rnacentral:lncRNA from 1 species